AGCUUAAUCAAAUUCAAAAAAACCUCAAAGAAAUUUCAAACAAAUAAUAAGAAUUUUUAAAGAAAUAUUAGAAGGAUCACAAAUAUCACUCAAAUAUAUCUCAAUUCAAUAUUAAUUUAAUUCUAGUUAAAAUCCUAUUGAACUUCAUUAAAACUUUAGGCCAAAACUAAUUGAAUCUUAAAUCCUAAUAAAAUCCUAAAUCCUAAAUAAAAUCCUAAAUAAAUCCUAAAUUAAAUCCUAACUAAAUCCUAAACUCUAAAUAAAUCCUAAUCAAACCCUAAUCCAAAUCCUAAAUCCUAAACCAAAUCCUAAUCAAAUCCUAAAUCCUAAAUCAAACCCUAAUCCAAAUCUUAAACCCUAAAUCAAACCCUAACCAAAUCCUAAUCCAAGCCCUAAACCCUAAAUCCGAAAUCAAACCCUAAUUCAAACCCUAAUCAAAUCUUAAACCAAAUCCUAAACCAA
rnacentral:lncRNA from 1 species